rnacentral:rRNA from 1 species
UGGGGAAUCUUGCACAAUGGGCGAAAGCCUGAUGCAGCGACGCCGCGUGAGCGAUGAAGGCCUUCGGGUUGUAAAGCUCUGUGGGGAGAGACGAAUAAGUGCUGGCUAACAUCCAGCGCGAUGACGGUAUCUCCUUAGCAAGCACCGGCUAACUCUGUG